rnacentral:sRNA from 1 species
GCCGGGCCUGCGGGAGCUGCGGAGGCCGGAGGCGGGCGCUGUGCGGUGCCAGGAGAGGCGGGGUCGGCGGGAGCCAGCGAGCGACGGGAGCGAGCCAGGCUAACCUUGCCGCGGGCCGAGCCCUGCCUCGCCAUGGACCAGGACUAUGAGCGGCGCCUGCUUCGCCAGAUCGUCAUCCAGAAUGAGAACACGAUGCCACGCGUUACGGAGAUGCGGCGGACCCUGACGCCUGCCAGCUCCCCAGUGUCCUCGCCCAGCAAGCACGGAGACCGCUUCAUCCCCUCCAGAGCCGGAGCCAACUGGAGCGUGAACUUCCACAGGAUUAACGAGAAUGAGAAGUCUCCCAGUCAGAACCGGAAAGCCAAGGACGCCACCUCAGACAACGGCAAAGGUUAGGGUCCCAGCCCAUCCGCCCUGCAGGCCCCCACCCUGCCUUGCCCUGCCUCACUGUGCUUGAUACCCGCAGACGGCCUGGCCUACUCCGCCCUGCUCAAGAAUGAGCUGCUGGGUGCCGGCAUCGAGAAGGUGCAGGACCCGCAGACUGAGGACCGCAGGCUGCAGCCCUCCACGCCUGAGAAGAAGGGUCUGUUCACGUAUUCCCUCAGCACCAAGCGCUCCAGCCCCGAUGAUGGCAACGACGUGUCUCCCUACUCCCUGUCUCCCGUCAGCAACAAG